AACGAACGCUGGCGGCAUGCCUAACACAUGCAAGUCGAACGAGAUCUUCGGGUCUAGUGGCGCACGGGUGCGUAACGCGUGGGAAUCUGCCCUUUGGUUCGGAAUAACAGUUGGAAACGACUGCUAAUACCGGAUGAUGACGAAAGUCCAAAGAUUUAUCGCCAGAGGAUGAGCCCGCGUAGGAUUAGCUAGUUGGUGUGGUAAGGGCGCACCAAGGCGACGAUCCUUAGCUGGUCUGAGAGGAUGAUCAGCCACAAUGGGACUGAGACACGGCCCAGACGCCUACGGGAGGCAGCAGUGGGGAAUAUUGGACAAUGGGCGAAAGCCUGAUCCAGCAAUGCCGCGUGAGUGAUGAAGGCCUUAGGGUUGUAAAGCUCUUUUACCCGGGAUGAUAAUGACAGUACCGGGAGAAUAAGCUCCGGCUAACUCCGUGCCAGCCGCCGCCGUAA
rnacentral:rRNA from 1 species